CCUACGGGAGGCAGCAGUGAGGAAUAUUGGUCAAUGGCCGGAAGGCUGAACCAGCCAAGCCGCGUGAAGGACGAAGGUGCCAAGCAUUGUAAACUUCUUUUGUCAAGGGACAAAAUCAGGCUCGAGAGCCUGACCGAGGGUACUUGAAGAAAAAGCAUCGGAUAACUCCGUGCCAGCAGCCGCGGUAAUACGGAGGAUGCGAGCGUUAUCCGGAUUGAUUGGGUUUAAAGGGUGCGUAGGCGGGCUGUUAAGUCAGCGGUAAAAGCCCGGGGCUCAACCCCGGUGAGCCGUUGAAACUGGCUGUCUUGAGAUGUCGAGAGGUAUGCGGAAUGCGCAGUGUAGCGGUGAAAUGCUUAGAUAUUGCGCAGAACUCCGAUUGCGAAGGCAGCAUACCGGCGGCGAUCUGACGCUGAGGCACGAAAGCGUGGGUAUCGAACAGGAUUAGAUACCCCUGUAGUC
rnacentral:rRNA from 1 species